rnacentral:lncRNA from 1 species
UGGGUCUGGGGAUGUGGUACCGGCUGCUGGCGGCGGCCGGCAGUAGAGCGGUGGCCAGGCCGCUGGCCUUGCUGUGGCGAUGUGGUGGCCCAGGAGGCGGCAGGACGGCCAAGACCAGCGCGAGGGCCCUGGGCAAGGCCCGACAGUGGUUAUGGCCAGUGAGAAUGUGCGGUGUUGCAUUGCAGAAGAAGCUAGGAAAGCUCAUCUGGCCUCCUGUUCCAGUGCUUCCAGGGGAUCCACGUUCAGAAGCUGACUCUGCAGGCAAGACCGACGUUAUUUUCCUGGUGGCUGUGUUCAAAACCACCCAAAGGGUUUGAGAAAUACUUUAAGAGGAGUGGAAGGAACACAAACUGAGAAACAUCAACAGCACCAAAAAAAGAGACUGGUGAACUAGAGAAUGCUGAGUCUGGAGGAGACGGAGGCAGGAGAGGAGGGAAGCAGGAUAACGUUGCCUGGUGGAGGCGGAUGCAGAAGGGGGGACUUCCCCUGGGAUGACGAGGAUUUCCGCAGUCUGGCCCUUUUGGGGGCAGGCGUUGCCAUGGGAUUUUUCUACCUCUAUUUUCGAGAUCCUGGAAGAGAAAUCACGUGGAAGCACUUUGUACAGUAUUACCUGGCCAGAGGUCUGGUGGACCGGCUGGAAGUCGUGAACAAACAAUCUGUGCGUGUUAUUCCUGCCCCUGGGACCUCUUCUGAAACGUAGCUGGGUGCGAAGAAUCAAAUUGGAAAUU